ACCAUUUAUUGCCGCAAGAAUGUUUUUCCUUUUGGCCUCAGUUAUCCUUUUACUAUCAACGAUGCAUGGAGAACGCCGGUCAUAUGCUUUAGCAGCGCAUGGUCGUUGUAAAGUUGGGCAAAGUCGUCUCUCUAACUAUCAUCCGAGACCUCCUCCUAGUCCAAGUCCCUCAACGCGCGCUCCUAUUCCAAGCCCCCUUCAAAAUGGGCCAAAGCCUGGCGGCUAAAACAGUAUCACACCUGGUGGAACCGAACACCAACGCCGAUGCGGAAUUCCACGAAAUACUACACUCUGCAGCUCUGCUCAGCACAACAUGAAGAAAAAAUAAAUAGUGUUUUAACACGUGACAAAA